ensembl:lncRNA LINC01684 long intergenic non-protein coding RNA 1684
AGUUCACAGCUAUGUCCUUCCCAAUUUAGGAGGUUAAGGGCAGGAAAAACAUGAGAAACUCUUUUGAGAAGCUGCACAAGCUGACAUGGAGGAUCAAGGAUUUCAAAAGCUUUGAAUAUAAAGAGGUGUCAGACUUACAUCAGAGCCUGAGACUUGACAUGCCUAUUUUUGCACUCGCUCAUUUUUCAAAUUUCAUAGGCAUUGCUCCCUCCAAAUCACCGCUCUUCUAAUUUUAUCCUGGAGUGUGCAUCCCAGAAGACAUAAGCUGACACAAUUGGGAACUGAAGUUGCUUGAAAAAGCUGGUGGUAAGAUUAGACUCUAGACAGCUUAUACGUAUUUGGACAAGGCAACGUGAUGAAGAAAUAAUAUAAUUGUAGGAUCACCUCUGUCCAGUAGCUGUUAUCCAACAUCUGCAUACUUAGAUUUCUGGAGAGAUGGAGUCUCGCUCUGUUGCCUAGGCUGGAGUAUACUGGCAUGAUCUCGCCUCACUGCAAGCUCUGCCUCCCAGGUUCACGUCAUUCUCCUGCCUCAGCCUCCCGAGUAGCUGGGACUACAGGAGCGUGUCACCACGCCCGGCUAAUUUUUUUUUGUAGUUUUAGUGGAGACUGGGUUUCACCAUGUUAACCAGGAAGAUUUUUGCAUGCUGAAUAUUUAUAAACUUUAUUGUAUGCAGUUUUCUUGCCAAUCCUCUAUUCCUCCCUACACAAAUCAAAAAUGUCCAAUAUAUUUUACAUAAAAGAAAUCUAAAAUCAAAACUGAGAGAUAAAGAUCUAGUGAAGAAAUCUGUCACCUUAAAAAUAAACAUGAUUAUUGGUGGCAAUAGUAAUUCAGAAUCACUUGCAAAGUUAAAAUUCGGAGCUAAACCGUGUACAUUUUGUAAGCAAAUAUAACAGUAAACUCUUUAAUUUGAACAUUGAACUAGAAAUCUAUCUCCCAAAAAAUUACAAUUUUGUGAAACAGGAACCAAAACUAUAUACUAAGAUAACAGUAAUUCAUCAGGUACUUUUUUGGAUAUUAUUUACUAUACACAUUUUUGUUCUACCUUACAAAAGUUAAUAAUCUUUCAUUAACAUUAAAUAGAAUUAAUCAAUUCAACAA